rnacentral:rRNA from 1 species
AUGAAGGUCAGGCUCCGGGUGCGGCGCAUGUGGGAGGCAGUCCAGGACAGCAACGUUGACCACCAAGAGGACCGACGGGCGCUGGACGCCCUCAUCGCCACAGUCCCGCCCGAGAUGCAGUUCUUGCUUUCCAGCAAGCGGACUGCCAAGGAAGCUUGGGACGCCAUCGCCGCGGCACGCAUCGGCAGCGACCGUGCUCGCAAGUCCACUCUGCAGGCACUAUGUAAGGAGUGGGAGAGCCUGGCUUUCAAGCCAGGUGAGGACGUUGAUGACUUUGCUCUCCGUCUCAACACUCUGCUGCAGAAGUUGGUGAAGUUUGGUGAUGCCACCUACACCGAGGAGAGAGCUGUCGAGAAGCUCUUUCGGUGCAUCCCCGAGAAGUACAAGCAGAUGGCUCGGUCGAUCGAGUCCGUGCUGGACCUCUCCACGAUGACAAUCGAGGAGGCGAUAGGUCGCCUCAAGGUCGUCGACACUAACGAGCCACAGCCUUCCUCGGGGCCCAUCACCACCGGCGGGAAGCUGCUCCUAACUCGGGAGCCGUGGGAUGCCAGCCUUGGUGACAGGAAGAAGGGGGAGCCUUCUUCCACGACGGGCGGCCGCAAGCGUGGCAAGCAGCGUAAGACGCGAAGAGGCCCCCCGGGCAGGGCACAAGGACGUGCCGAAGGGGACGCCCACGGAGGCGCCAAGGACGGCGCCGCUGGCAAGCCCAAGCUGGCACAAGACAACAGCUGCCACAACUGUGGCCGGUUUGGCCAUUGGGCCAAUGAGUGUCGGCAACCACGACAAGGCCAGGCUCACGUCGCACAGGCGAAGGAGGAGGAGACGGCUCUGUUCAUGGCGCAUGCAAGCAUUGAGCUAUCUUCAGCGACACCACACAUGGUCCUUGUGGCAGUUAGGAUAGAGUUCCUGACCAUCAAGGACUGGCAGUUAGGAUAG